rnacentral:rRNA from 1 species
GACGAACGCUGGCGGCGUGCUUAACACAUGCAAGUCGAGCGGUAAGGCCCUUCGGGGUACGACGAGCGGCGAACGGGUGAGUAACACGUGGGUGACCUGCCCUCAGCUCUGGGAUAAGCCCGGGAAACUGGGUCUAAUACCGGAUAUGACCUCUCAUCGCAUGGUGGGUGGUGGAAAGUCGGUGUCAUUGAUGCCGGCGGUUGGGGAUGGGCCCGCGGCCUAUCAGCUUGUUGGGGGGGUGA